AAUCGAUGCACCCCCUGUGUGGGGCCCACACAGAAUCCUACUCUGGGCUUUCUUGCAUGACCCCAAGGGCUACACUUAUCUUCACAGCAUCCCUGAAACUCAGAGUACAAACCUUGCUUCUCUGAAUUCACUCACUUACCAGGACACUGAGCCAGCAAAUCAGAUGCACACAACUCGCCUGUCUGUGCUGCCUCCAAGCUCUGCCUUCCUGCAACAUGUGCUCUUCUCUCCAAGGUCAGAGCAGAGUGGCUCUCGUCCUGACUCAGGGGUAAUGGGACUCCUACUGCCACCACUGCAGUUACAUCUGCUGGACAAGAGGAUCUCAACUGCAGCCCAAUGAAACCAAUGGAGAAUUACUUGCAUUUGCUGAUGGGUUUUCACUACAACGGAGGGAAUACUUUGCAAAUGGAGCUUGUACCAUUCUGGACAAAGCUGGGACAAUGUAAGGUCCUGGGAUGCCAAAAAGAAUGUUUUAUCCUUCAUUUGAAACAGAUACUGUAUUUAUAAAGGAGAAAUAACAGGUUGAUAAGGAUUUUGCUUAGAAAUCAGGGAGUGAUGAAGUGUCUGAGAGAGGUGUGCUUAUUUCAACAGAUCUUGAUUUAAAGCAGAUCAAAAUCUUUGGCUGAGCAGCCCAGCACCUAACCACACACAAGCUGAGGAAGCUGCAUGCCGCAUGGGUACUGUGUGUUAGCAUUCCAGCUCCUGCUCCCAGACAAAAGCAGCUUUCAUUUAAACUGAGAGGUAUUGAGUAACAAGCCUCUGCACAGCACAACAAACUGAACACAACUGUCUCAAGUGAGACUCUAUUAAAGCAUGGGAAAUUUGCCACCUCCCCAGGAUUUAUCAUUUUAAUUGGAACAAGACAGAUUCCAUCAAUGAUGACUGAACAGAGCAUCAAGAAGUAUGUCUUUAGCAGCUGUUAUUAUGCAGGAGAGAUGAGAGCUAAAGUAGGGGCAGAAACUCUUUUCAGUGUAAACAGAUAGCCAUCUAAUCUGUAGAAGACAGGCAGGAGAAGAAGGGAAACAGGAUCUUUCAGAUAUAAUUAAUACUGAAAAAGCAAAAUAAUGUCUUUUCCAAUGACCUUAUAUGGCCACAGCAAGCUUUGGUUGCCUUUAACAAAUCUUUCUGCUAGUACUUCAGUAACUUCCCUCCAAUUCUUGUUGGCCUAUUUGAACAAGAAUCUUCAAAGAUUCAUUCUUUGACCUUCCCAGGUGCUGUUCUUUUAGAAUUUCUUUUUAUAAGCAGCAAGUUAAGUAGGGAUGAAAGAGGACCACCAUCAAGAAGGAAAAAAUAGCAUGCCUUGUUAUAUAUAUGGUAUUUUCAUGUUCUUAAAGUAAUUCAAUAUUGCACCCUCAAGAUUGACAUAAGAGACCAUAACAAUUAAGUUUAAGGUUAUAAUUUUAAUCAUAGAUGAAGCUUAAAGGCCAUUUUUUUCCAAUGUCUCAUAGUCUUUGUGGAAAUUACACAUUAUUGAGCAGAACAGCACAGUACUUAAAGCAGGUUAACUUUUAAUGCAAACCUGUUUUCUGCUGUCCAAAAGGUCUUUACUAAACUGAAGAUCACUAUUCCAUUCUCUGAAUACAUACUGAUUUCAGAGCAGACAAUAUAAGAUUAGGGACCUAGCCAUAGGAGUGCAGUAAAUAAAACAAAACAAAACAUAACAAAACAAAACAUGUCUCGAACAUAGGCUUCCACUUCAGGACACAGGGAGAUGGACAUACCUGUAGAGGUAAUCUAAAAAAUACUUAUCAGACAUUCAUCUUGAAAUCCCCCAUAGAACAGCAAUGGUCAGCAAUGACUGAAAGACAAAUA